rnacentral:rRNA from 1 species
GUGUCAGCAGCCGCGGUAAGACGAACCGUGCGAACGUUGUUCGGAAUCACUGGGCUUAAAGGGCGCGUAGGCGGGCCGCCAAGUCUGUGGUGAAAUCCCCCGGCUCAACCGGGGAACGGCCGCGGAUACUGGAGGUCUCGAGGGAGGUAGGGGCAUGCGGAACUACGGGUGGAGCGGUGAAAUGCGUUGAUAUCCGUAGGAACUCCGGUGGCGAAGGCGGCGUGCUGGACCUCUUCUGACGCUGAGGCGCGAAAGCCAGGGGAGCGAACGGGAUUAGAUACCCCCGUAGUCC